ACACACCCCUUCUCCGCUCCCUCGGCGUGGUUAUCACCACUGUGUACAAACUGAUACGGUCCUCGGCCGGCCCGGGGACUGGAACUAGACGGCGCGGGGUUAUCAGCGCCGAUCUGUCAUCGGCGAGUCUAGCGGCCGCGGGUUCAGCCCUGGCAGGAGCUCUGAUACCCGUCUCGCUCCCUUUCGCUCACAAGAAGGAUUUCUUCCGACAGGCGUGACCCCAGCAGGCUCGUGAGAGUUUUGCCCGGGGCAGGAGGAGUUGUGUGGGAAUGGAUCUUGACGCUCCCCCCCCCCCCCACCAGGUAAAUCGAAGUAAAUGAUUUCCUAAAGCUCGUUAUCUGGGCCACCCAAUGACCGACGAAAGACGUCCCCUCCCCGCUCCUCCCGAGGCCGCUGUAAACCAAAUAAAUGUGGCUGUGAGGGGCCAGGACGCCUGACACAAGAUGGAGAGGUGUCUCUCCGCGAUCGCUGGGCGCACAGGAGGAGGAGCGGGUGGCUCCCGGAUCCCGAUAAAGACAUUCCGCGCCGGCGCCGGCCGCCCUGCCCGCCCCGCGGCCCCGGUGCGCCCUGACGUCCUGGGAGCUCGGCGGUGGGACCUGCGGGUUCCCGGGGAAUGUGCCGGACCCGGGAGUGCCAGGCCCUGGGGGUCCCGGGCCCGGGAAAUGCCAGGGGAGCUUGGCUCCCAGAGCAGCCCCCUGCACAGGACAGAAAAACCAAACCGAGCUCAGCGGGGGGCCUAAAUCCCCAUCCCGUGUUUAUUAUGGUCUGUUGCUGGAGACUGCAAAGCCAAGCCACCUCUGCCUCCCCACCCGCUUUGCUGAGGGGCAGUGUGACUCCAUGUCUCCCUGGUCCUGGGAGCAGAUCUUUUGAACCCCAGUCAGAACACGGUGGCUGGAACCUGGCAGCUGGAUGAGACCCAAGCUAAAGGGAGGGUGUGGGCUAGCACACUGACAGCAUGCAGGUGGGAGGCAGAGGUCCGGUGAUUCAGUCAUCCUCAGGUUGGGUUUGCUUUAUGAAGUGUGGUAUUUAUUAUCAUUAUUAAUUACCACUGGCAUCACUACACAAAGCCUAGGGCUGCCAGCUGGGCCCCGGCCCUGCCCUCGGGGUGAUCCCUUCCCUUUUGCCAAAGGUGAAGCGAGGGAUGUUCAGUUUCCUGAUUCUGAAAAGUGGGUUUGGGGAGGAUGAUGCCAUGUUUUCAAGUGCCCCGCUAAGGCCCGAGAAUUAGCCUUUUAAAAGCCUUUUCUACCGCUUUUAAAAGGCUGGGGCUGGCCCAUGAGACAUACACACCCUGACUUCCCCACGGUGGGGCUUCUUCCACUAUCCUCUGCCUUCCCCUCUCUGUUCUCUGUCCAAGCUGGAGAUAGGGCUCUGAAUUCCAAAAGUCAGUCCAGCAUCUUUAGCUUCUGUCUGUCACCUCACACGGGGCCCCAGAAUUACAUGCCUCUCUUUUUUCCUCUCCCCAUCCAAAUAAGGUGAACUCCGAAAUCUAAUCCUUUCUCCUCACCCAGCCUCCCAGGAAACGGAAAAAUCAAAUCAUCAGAGAGAAAGGGAUCAUUUCUACACCCAAGAAGGUGAAAGAGAUGCAGCAAGUUCCAAAGCCCCAAACCACGGCUUUCCCUGGGUUCUGCUGGUAUUACGUGUGAGGGCAAUGCCAAUGCUAGGGUCAGGGUCCAGGUGCCACUGUCCCAGAGCUGUCUCAGGUCAGAGACCUUUCUGACUGGGUGUUGUGUGUCUCCCCCCCCCCGCCCCCCCGCCGGAGGGUGUUAAGGGGUGGCAGAAAAAGGAGGUAACAGGCUUUUGAAGAUUUGCUAAGUAAACUAAUGUUCCUUCUUGAUUCAAUUAAAGGGGGAAAAAAAGUACCCAAGAAAUAAAAACAAUUACUGCAUUUGCCACCCAGAAAUAUGACCUCUCCAUUCAGCUAUGCUGCAAAUAUGCAGAGAAUUAUGACCAAAGGGUUGUCUACCCAGGGUCCUGCACUUGCCCAGCCAUACGCACUGCAAAAAGAAAAAUUGGAGCUGGCCUCUAGUGAAGUGUUUACAGUCUGAAGAUCGGCACUUCUGUAGAGCUGGUGAGGCCAAGUACUACAGGGAAUUUCCAAGAUGGAGGGAGAUGUCUGAGCCUUUUUCCUUCUCUAGUGAAAUACUCGGGCUCAGAUUUUCCUCUGGGCUCCGUGGUUGCUUUGAAAAGAAGGGAGUCGCUCUAGUUCACACGCGGAGAGACUUUCUAGAAGCCCAGACUCUGGGCCAGCCUGCCUGGGUUUGAAUCCUAUCCCUACCACUUAACUAGCUGUGUGACCAGGAUAAGUCACCUCACCUCUCUGUGUCUCAGUUUCCUCAUCUGUAAAAGGAGGCUGAUUAAAAGUACCUCCAGUACAGGAUUGUUGAGAAGAUUAAAAUGUUUCUUUUGUGUGUGUAAAGUGCUAAUAGUACUUGGCACAUAGUAAACACUAUAUAAAAGUGAACUGUUAUUACCAAUAGCUAUAGCACAAUAGAUUCCUAUAUACUGCACCACAUUUUAAUUCUUGCCCUUAAUUGUCCCCUGAAGCUAAAUUAAUUCCCAGGAAAGACCGUCUUGGAGACUGCUGUUCACCAGAGGUCUCAGGCUUUUCCUACACACCAGCAGUAAGGACUUUAUUUAUUGCAUUAUGGUCGGAAAGGGGGGGAGGAGGAGGACGAGGCAAAAAGGUCCUUUACUUGCUUUUGAUUCCUUUGAAGAGGAAACAUUCCUUGUUACCCUUGCAAAUGCCAGCAACCAACAUCUUCUGCAGGACAGAGAUAGUAAUCUCAAGGCUCAUCCUCUGCUCCAGGACAGCAGCACCCUCUCCCUGGAACUCCUUUGGGGCAGCAGAUAGGAGCGACUUAACAGAUGGGGCCAUGAAGGGGGGAGCUGUGAGGACUGGCAUUAGAUACCAGGGAGGAAAAAGAGUUGAUUAAAUUGACCUGGUCAGCUAGCUACACUUCUCUCAUGCUCUAUACCUUUCAAUUUGGUAUUGCUAUAUAUAUACUUAUACAGGAGACUUAUUCUACUUUAAUUACAUUGUUGUUAUGGAAUAAAAAAAAUUAUGUCUGAUGA